GGGCCAUUGAUUUUGGUAUCCAACACCCAACAGUUCAAAGUAUGGUAACAUUUUCUAGGUCCUUCUGGCCCAGCUAGGACAUCUGGCCUGAAGUCUCACAAUGGAGAGAGGCUGUUUCUUCUUCAAGUCCUGUCAAACAACAAGGAUUUCCUGAUCCCUGUUACAUUAUCUCCAAAGCAGAUAACAGCAUUGAGGAAUUAAGUGAAUGCAGAACUAAGACAAUCAUUCAGAAGAGCCACCCCACGGCCUUCCUCAGAAGCCUUCGGGAAACAUCAUGCAGUGUCCUCCUUUAAACUGAGUGUUUAUCUUCAUUCUUUAUGUUACUGAUAUUCAACUGUCCUAUGGCCAUUCUUAGCAAUAUAGAUGUUCCUGUAGGUCAAAGAAUGGAAAGCAACUUCAGAGAAAGGCAAAAAUGGAAGGAGAAUGCAGGCCAGAAGUUAGCCUAUUUAUACGUGAAAACAACAGCUAAUCCCCUGGGCAUGGAGUGGGGAGCUUAAAUCAUACCACUUUAGCAAGACCCACCAUGCUUCCCUGCCUUGGUGACUGAUGUCUUUCCUAGGAUGCUUUUGAAUCACAAGCAAUGUGAGCCAAUAUCUACAAAGCUCCUGAUGCUGCAUACGUUGAAGGCAGAAGAGUGGUUUGAUAACGGACUGUCUAAUAGUCACCACCAGAUGAUUCCUACGAUCUCCUGUGACCUUCAAAGUGGGCCCAUAUACCCUGCGGGAAGUAUAAGGAACUCCACUGGGAUGCUGGAAGGAAAUAAUAGAACUUCUGUUUAUACUUUAUUUUUCAUCUCAUCCUUUUGUAAUUUCUAUUUUUGUGUAUGCUUUACGAUAUAAAUACCAUAUAGGAGCUUAUGUCUAUAAUUUAUAAGUAAAUAAAUGCACAUUGGGGUGCAUGCUCAAAUGUUUGAUUGAUGGAGCAUACAAUCAAGCUUGGUGACACCAUUCUGAUCAGUAAGGGUAGAAAUAUUUCAAUAGAGCAAGCUAGAUGAAACCCUGGGGAUGCCAUAACAAGAGCAGCAGACCACUUUGCCUUCCCUGCCUUGGUGUAGAAUGGUGUAGUGGGAAAAUGUUGCCGACCCUUCCUUAGGGUCUAGUGUUCUCUUCAGUGUGGAGUUACGGGAAGUCCCUCUUUUGGGGCUCUGCCAUCAGGUCUCAUGACAUGUCGAAUUAAAGGACUUCCUGGUGCUUCACUCAAAUGUCUACCUGGAGUCAUUGCCCUCAGCUCUAACUUGUGGAGAUGUAUCUGCCCUUCUGUUUCUGCUGCUUGGAAACUGCUAGAACGUGCUGCCUGGCCACCUUCGAACUCCAUCCCCACUGCUGGGCACUGACGCAGAGGCAUCCUUCCCCAGGCCUUGUUGGCGUCUUGUUUCAAAGAGGCACAGAACAAUGUCUCCUCAAAGCCAACGGGCUCUGGUGUCCUCCUGUCCCAUGGGGCCUGAACCCCUGCAAGUGCCCCUGCAGUUUGGUGGGAGUGAGACAGCAGAGUGCCCCAGGCUGGGCUGGCCACACAGCUGAGGCCCACAAGCCUACCAGCUGCCGCAUGGCAGAGGUGAAGCAUCUCUGCCCUUUUCCAUCUCUAGCGAGCAUCCCCAGCCUGGGCCCAGGUUGAAACCCCCUUUUUGGUUUCUCCCUUCAGGUCCUCACAAUGGCACCCUGGUGGUUGGCCCUGAGGGUCAGGCAGCUUGCUGUGUUCAGGCUCAUUCAUUGCCUCUGAUGCUAACUUUUGUUUGUUUGUUUGUUUGAGGAAGAUUAGCCCUGAGCUAACAUCUGCCACCAAUCCUCUUCUUUUUUGCAGAGGAAGGCCAGCCCUGAGCUAACAUG